GAUGAACGCUGGCGGCGUGCCUAAUACAUGCAAGUCGAGCGAACAGAUAAGGAGCUUGCUCCUUUGACGUUAGCGGCGGACGGGUGAGUAACACGUGGGUAACCUACCUAUAAGACUGGGAUAACUUCGGGAAACCGGAGCUAAUACCGGAUAACAUUUGGAACCGCAUGGUUCUAAAGUGAAAGAUGGUUUUGCUAUCACUUAUAGAUGGACCCGCGCCGUAUUAGCUAGUUGGUAAGGUAACGGCUUACCAAGGCAACGAUACGUAGCCGACCUGAGAGGGUGAUCGGCCACACUGGAAUUGAGACACGGUCCAGACUCCUACGGGAGGCAGCAGUAGGGAAUCUUCCGCAAUGGGCGAAAGCCUGACGGAGCAACGCCGCGUGAGUGAUGAAGGGUUUCGGCUCGUAAAACUCUGUUAUUAGGGAAGAACAAAUGUGUAAGUAACUGUGCACGUCUUGACGGUACCUAAUCAGAAAGCCACGGCUAACUACGUG
rnacentral:rRNA from 1 species